UACGAAGGGGGCUAGCGUUGCUCGGAAUCACUGGGCGUAAAGCGCACGUAGGCGGAUCUUUAAGUCAGGGGUGAAAUCCUGGAGCUCAACUCCAGAACUGCCUUUGAUACUGAGGAUCUCGAGUUCGGGAGAGGUGAGUGGAACUGCGAGUGUAGAGGUGAAAUUCGUAGAUAUUCGCAAGAACACCAGUGGCGAAGGCGGCUCACUGGCCCGAUACUGACGCUGAGGCACGAAAGCGUGGGGAGCAAACAGG
rnacentral:rRNA from 1 species